GACGAACGCUGGCGGCGUGCUUAACACAUGCAAGUCGAACGAACAGGCCCUGCUCUUGUGGCGUGCUCGAGUGGCGAACGGGUGAGUAACACGUGAGUAACCUGCCCUUGACUUUGGGAUAACUUCAGGAAACUGGGGCUAAUACCGGAUAGGAUCUCCCGCUGCAUGGUGGGGGUUGGAAAGUUUCGGCGGUUGGGGAUGGUCUCGCGGCUUAUCAGCUUGUUGGUGGGGUAGUGGCUUACCAAGGCUGUGACGGGUAGGCGGCCUGAGAGGGUGGCCGGGCACCUGGCGACUGAGAGAGGGACCAGACGGCUAUGUGAGGCAGUAGGGGGGAGCAUGACACAGUGGGGCGGAGCCAGAGACAGAAACGCUCGGUGCGGAAUGAUCUGCUAUUGGUUGAAAACAGCCUUCGACGGUAACGAAGAGUGAGUGACGGUAAUGGGUAAAGAAGCACCGGCUAACUACGUG
rnacentral:rRNA from 1 species